GACAGAGGGUGCAACCGUUGUUCGGAAUGACUGGGCGUAAAGCGCGUGUAGGCGGCUCGGCAAGUCGGAUGUGAAAGCCCUGGGCUCAACCCAGGAAGUGCACUCGAAACUGCCGAGCUGGAGUCCCGGAGAGGAAGGCGGAAUUCUCGGUGUAGAGGUGAAAUUCGUAGAUAUCGAGAGGAACACCGGUGGCGAAGGCGGCCUUCUGGACGGCGACUGACGCUGAGACGCGAAAGCGUGGGGAGCAAACAGG
rnacentral:rRNA from 1 species